rnacentral:rRNA from 1 species
AUUGAACGCUGGCGGCAUGCCUUACACAUGCAAGUCGAACGGUAACAGGUCUUCGGAUGCUGACGAGUGGCGAACGGGUGAGUAAUACAUCGGAACGUGCCCAGACGUGGGGGAUAACGAGGCGAAAGCUGUGCUAAUACCGCAUACGAUCUAAGGAUGAAAGCAGGGGACCGCAAGGCCUUGUGCGGUUGGUGCGGCCGAUGGCAGAUUAGGUAGUUGGUGGGAUAAAAGUUUACCAAGCCGACGAUCUGUAGCUGGUCUGAGAGGACGACCAGCCACACUGGGACUGAGACACGGCCCAGACUCCUACGGGAGGCAGCAGUGGGGAAUUUUGGACAAUGGGCGAAAGCCUGAUCCAGCAAUGCCGCGUGCAGGAUGAAGGCCUUCGGGUCGUAAACUGCUUUUGUACGGAACGAAAAGGCUCUGGCUAAUACCUGGGGCACAUGACGGUACCGUAAGAAUAAGCACCGGCUAACUACGUG